rnacentral:rRNA from 1 species
GAGCGCGGGAAGCCGGCGGACUCCUUCGGGAGGAAACCGGUGGAACGAGCGGCGGACGGGUGAGUAACACGUGGGCAACCUGCCGGACUGAUGGGAAUAACCCCGGGAAACCGGGGCUAAUGCCCAAUACGCCCUGACCUCGCCUGAGGUCAGCGGUAAAGCAGGGAUCUUCGGAUCCUUGCACAGUCCGAUGGGCCCGCGGCGCAUUAGCUAGUUGGAGAGGUAAGGGCUCCCCAAGGCGACGAUGCGUAGCCGACCUGAGAGGGUGAUCGGCCACACUGGGACUGAGACACGGCCCAGACUCCUACGGGAGGCAGCAGUAGGGAAUCAUCCGCAAUGGGCGAAAGCCUGACGGUGCAACGCCGCGUGAGUGAUGAAGGUUUUCGGAUCGUAAAGCUCUGUUGACAGGGAAGAACCCACGCCAGUCGAA